rnacentral:misc_RNA from 1 species
GAUGAAGAACGUAGCGAAAUGCGAUACUUGGUGUGAAUUGCAGAUCCCGUGAACCAUCGAGUCUUUGAACGCAAGUUGCGCCUCAAGCCAUUAGGUUGAGGGCACGUCUGCCUGGGCGUCACAUAUCGUUGCCUGAUGCCAGUUUCCUCGUGAUGGGUGACUGUGCAGGGCGAAUGAUGGCUUCCCGUGAGCAUUGUUGCCUCAUGGUUGGUUGAAAAUUGAGUCCUUGGUAGGGAGCGCCGUGAUAGAUGGUGGUUGAGUGACGAACGAGACCCAAUCAUGUGAGACCCCUACCGAAUUUGGCCUUCAUGACCCACAUGCGUCUUUGGAACGCUCAUGACGAGACCUCAGGUCAGGCGGGGCUACCCGCUGAGUUUAAGCAUAUCAAUAAGCGGAGGA